GGCGGACGAGACUCCGCCCCUUGUCCUGGCUAGGGAGCCGGACCUUAGGUGGAGGUGCCUUGGGUUUUUUUUUGGGGGGGGGGGGGGGGAAGAGGGUACUGCUGGCUUAGUUAUUGCCCCCACGUCCCUAGCACCUCUAUGCUCUGUCCUGAAGCACCCCCCUUCCCCAAUCUCGCAGUCCUCCCUCCGACCUCCCGCCGCCAGAUAAGUCAGAGCGACUGGAAGGGGCACGCAGAGCCCUGGGGACCAGGUCAGAGAAACUGAUCAAAGAAAUUGGAAAGUCGUGAAGAUGGGGAUGUGAGGGGACACCAGGAGACAGAAGCAGAGAGGCGGAAGGAAGCAGAGCGAGGCCAAGACCGGUCAGAGUGUCCACCCCUCCCCGGGGGGCGCAGGGUAGCCUCGUCCCGCAGGUGCAUCAGAGGCCUCAGCUCACGCUCAGCGGCUGGCCGGCAAGCAACCAGGCCCCCACAGGGAAGCACGCAGAAAGAAAAACUCCAGGGGAAGUCAGCUUCCUGGUCUUGAAAGACUCAGCCCUGUGGAGAAGCCCAUUCAACAAAGACCUGAGGCCUCAAUCGAACCACUGGGAACUGAGUCCUGUCACCAACCAUAGGAUGAAGGACAAGGUCCCGCCAGCAGGAGGGGAAAGCGAGAGCAAAGCCCGAGGCAAGCAACAGCCGGCUUCACGAGAACAAGCAGUUCUGGGUUGCACGCAUCCAUUCGACAUAAUCCUAUCAAGCUGAAGUCACCCUAAUCAAGUAUGACCGGUGUUCUAUAAGGAGAGGGAACUUUGGACACGACACAGAGGGGAAGGCCGUGUGACAAUAGAGGCAGAGACUGGGUGAUGUCGCAGCAGCUGAGGUUGAUGACACCACCGGGGGCUGGAAGACGGGAAGGAGGGUUUCUCCUCUACUGGUUUCAGAGGGAGCAGACCCUGCUGACACCUUGAUUUUGGCCUCUGAACAGUGAGACAAUAAACUUGUUGUUUUAAAUCACCA